AACGAACGCUGGCGGCAUGCCUAACACAUGCAAGUCGAACGAGACCUUCGGGUCUAGUGGCGCACGGGUGCGUAACGCGUGGGAAUCUGCCCUUGGGUUCGGAAUAACAGUUGGAAACGACUGCUAAUACCGGAUGAUGACGUAAGUCCAAAGAUUUAUCGCCCAAGGAUGAGCCCGCGUAGGAUUAGCUAGUUGGUGAGGUAAAGGCUCACCAAGGCGACGAUCCUUAGCUGGUCUGAGAGGAUGAUCAGCCACACUGGGACUGAGACACGGCCCAGACUCCUACGGGAGGAAGCAGUGGGGAAUAUUGGACAAUGGGCGAAAGCCUGAUCCAGCAAUGCCGCGUGAGUGAUGAAGGCCUUAGGGUUGUAAAGCUCUUUUACCCGGGAUGAUAAUGACAGUACCGGGAGAAUAAGCGCCGGCUAACUCCGUG
rnacentral:rRNA from 1 species